rnacentral:rRNA from 1 species
GACGAACGCUGGCGGCGUGCCUAAUACAUGCAAGUAGAACGCAGUUGCGAACGGGUGAGUAACGCGUAGGUAACCUGCCUCAGAGCGGGGGAUAACUUUUGGAAACGAUAGCUAAUACCGCAUACUGUGAGAUGUACCUGCUUUGUAUUAGCUAGUUGGUGAGGUAAAGGCUCACCAAGGCGACGAUACAUAGCCGACCUGAGAGGGUGAGCAGCCACACUGGGACUGAGACACGGCCCAGACUCCUACGGGAGGCAGCAGUGGGGAAUUUUGGACAAUGGGCGAAAGCCUGAUGCAGCCAUGCCGCGUGUAUGAAGAAGGCCUUCGGGUUGUAAAGUACUUUUAGCGGGGAGGCGGUACCUGCAGAAGAAGCACCGGCUAACUCCGUGCCAGCAGCCGCGGUAAUAC